rnacentral:lncRNA from 1 species
GUGACUUUAUUUGUAAAGUGUUUAUUUUAUCGUAGUUGUAUGAUGGUAGGUAUUGUUACUUUUUAUUAUUUUUCCCAGAAAAAAAAUAUUUUGAUUCACUUUUUCGAAUAUUCAGCACCCCCAGGUCUGCACUGAUGGCCUAGGGUCACAGGUAGUUACCUCAGUCUUCUCACUGUAACAGUUUUGUGAUAGACUUUAAAUAAUCUCUUUAGUUUUCAAAAUUGUUUGGCAACUAAAAUAUAUUUGGCAAUGUUGAACUUAAUAAUAUUUGAAGGAGCCGUUUUGGCAUAUCUUUUGAGGUAUUGCCUGCCUGCAGAGAUCUUAAUAUGCAAAUAAUUAAAAUGUCAACCCAGAGAGGUUCCUGGAAUCAUAAUGGUGCCCAGGUCUCCAGGGUGCAAGUGCACAUUGAUUAUUGACUUCUAUAGUUACUUUCUUUAAUUAUUCUGAGCGACUGAAUGUUGGAAAUGCAAUUGUAUGCCCCUCUCAUCGCUCUGAAAAUAUGCUCGGUAGCCCAUAAUCAGUCAGAGAUUGAAUCAGAUUAAUUCAUUACAAUGUAUAAACAAUAACUUUGUAAAUAAAGUAUUUGCAGUUUAAUUAGAAUGCCAGGUUCUAAAUUCUAGGUAGGGGCUUAAGCUGGAUUGACAGACCCUUAACUCUAUUAUUAUUAUUUUCAUAAUUAAGCUAAGGAGUUCUCAUAGUAUAUUAAAUUUGGUAGGGAAGAAGAAUGAAAAUGAGGAUUUAAUAUUUGAAGAACUACAUUAGCAAGGUUGCUAAUUAUCUUAUCAUAAAUUUACAAGGCACAUUAUUCCCUCUUCUCUUUUUCUCAGCAUUCACGUUUUAAUCAAAUAGGAGUGUGUUCUUUACUUUAUGUUGCAAUCUAAGCUUGAUUAGAUUAGGCUGUAAGGUCAUUAAAGGGUCUGUAGGCUAACUGCAUCCCGUGAGUGGUUUAUAUUAUGCAAAGGGGAGAUCUAUCAAGAGUGGAAUAUAUUUGUGUAUUUUCUACAGAAAAAUAUUUAUUUUUAAGACUUAUUUGUUGUUCAAUCACUUAAAUAGAACUAAUUUGGAAAUUGUGAAUCAGUGGUACUUGUGAACGUUACUAUCCAUUUUCUCUUUAAUAUAAGUAUGAAUUCUUUGAAAUGUAU